CCGUAGCUCAGUGGAAGAGCAUCUGCUUGGCAUGCAGAAGGUCCCAGGUUCAAUCCCUGGCAGGUAGG